CCCUAGUUCCCCGUUCACCCGCCGACUGCCCUCCUCUCCGCGUGACCGCUGCCUCCGCAUGACUGUCUCCACCGCUGCACCUCCCUCUCCCUCUCCCUCGAGUGAGAUCCCACACACCGCCGGCUCUCCUCCGCACGCGAGCAGCAGAGCCGCCGACCCUCUACUUUCCGAGUUGUUCCCUUGCUGUCUCCACCACAGACGCCGCCGACCACCUCUACUCGACGCCGACCCCAGCGAGCCCUAGCUCCACCAGCAUCCUUCGGCCACGAGCUACGGGUAGCAGACCUUCCCUCUCCUCCUCGCACGAGCCCCGCACAGCUGGUGAUCUCUUCUCCCUCGAGCCAUCACGCCGACGAUCUCUCCCUCGUAGUGAAGAGGUGUUCGACAAGAGCUGUUGUGUUUCCAGCAGCAGUUACAUUCUUCCAGUAGCCUCUCCUUUCCGGCAGCAAUUCUUUUUGGGCCGAGGAUUAAGCUAAGAAGUAAGGACUAUGAUUCGAGAU